rnacentral:rRNA from 1 species
AGAGUUUGAUCAUGGCUCAGGAUGAACGUUGGCGGUGUGCCUAAUACAUGCAAGUCGAACGGAGUUAAUAGCAAUAUUGACUUAGUGGCGAACGGGUGAGUAACGCGUUGGUGAUCUGCCUCGAAGUGUGGAAUAACGUUCCGAAAGGAUCGCUAAUACCGCAUGUGCUCUCGAUUUUUAGAAAGUUGAGAGUAAAGGAUUUAUUCGCUUCGAGAGGAGCCUGCGUCCCAUCAGCUGGUUGGUAGGGUAACGGCCUACCAAGGCUAUGACGGGUAGGGGACCUGAGAGGGUGGCCCCCCACAAUGGAACUGAAACACGGUCCAUACACCUACGGGUGGCAGCAGUAGGGAAUAUUAGAAAUGGACGAAAGUCUGAUCUAGCAACACCGCGUGUGCGAAGAAGGCCUUCGGGUCGUAAAGCACUUUUUGGAAGGAAUAGGAAGGAAUGUACUUCCAGAAUAAGUCUCGGCUAACUACGUGCCAGCAGCCGCGGUAACACGUAGGAGGCAAACGUUAUCCGGAUUUACUGGGCGUAAAGCGCGGGUAGGUGGUACUGUAAGUAGGGCGUGAAAGCUCCUGGCUCAACUAGGAGAGGCCGUUCUAAACUACAGAACUAGAGGAUGGUAGAGGGAGGUGGAAUUCCAGGUGUAGCGGUGGAAUGCGCAGAUAUCUGGAGGAACACCGGUGGCGAAGGCGGCCUCCUGGACCAUUCCUGACACUCAGACGCGAAAGCUAGGGUAGCAAACGGGAUUAGAGACCCCGGUAGUCCUAGCCCUAAACGAUGUAGACUAGGCGUCGGAAGUUUAAUCACUUUCGGUGUCCAAGCUAACGCGAUAAGUCUACCGCCUGGGGACUACGGCCGCAAGGUUAAAACUCAAAUGAAUUGACGG